rnacentral:lncRNA from 1 species
UCAAUACCGAAUCCACUGAUGUCCCUGAGGUAUCUCCUGCACCCAACACUUCAAAAGAUAGAAUUGGAACGAGCCAUCGGAUCGAGGAUUACAGCAACUCCAGUGAUGACGUUCCUGUUGAUGUCCGUAUAGGCAUUUCAGACUCAGAGAUUAUGGAAGAGACAGUCAUCGCAACCCUAAACCCUAAACCCUAAACCCUAAACCCUAAACCCUAAACCCUAAACCCUAAACCCUAAACCCUAAACCCUAAACCCUAAACCCUAAACCCUAAACCCUAAACCCUAAACCCUAAACCCUAAACCCUAAACCCUAAACCCU